UACGUAGGGUGCGAGCGUUAAUCGGAAUUACUGGGCGUAAAGCGUGCGUAGGCGGUUCGUUAAGUUCGUUGUGAAAGCCCCGGGCUCAACCUGGGAAUGGCAAUGGAAACUGGCGGGCUGGAGUAUGGCAGAGGGGGGUGGAAUUCCGCGUGUAGCAGUGAAAUGCGUUAGAGAUGCGGAGGAACACCGAUGGCGAAGGCAGCCCCCUGGGCCAAUACUGACGCUCACGGCACGAAAGCGUGGGGAGCAAACAGG
rnacentral:rRNA from 1 species